rnacentral:snoRNA from 1 species
AGAAAACACAGUGCACCACACCGACUGGGAAUGCUUCGUAAGGUAUUUUGGAGAUUGCAAGAGGUGAAAUGCUUGUGCUUAGAAUUGAAUAUAUGAGGAAGAAAGCAAGUUACGAAUGUAGGAUCUACAUCACCAACUUGAUUUGGAUUCUAUUAAUUCAAAACAAAUACAAUAGUAGUGUCACAUGUAUAAUCAAUUCUACUUUCACGGAUAAGCAGCCAAAGUUUAUUAGUUUUUUCACCUUUACUCGCAUAGAGUCGCACUUGAGACGGGACACGUGAGGCACGUGCGCUUUUAAAACAUUUGUGAUAAGAAUCCCACAUCGAGAAACAGUGGCAACCUAAUGCUCUUCAUAUACGAAUGCUUCGCAGUAGAGUU